GACGAAUGCUGGCUGCGUGCUUAACACAUGCAAGUCGAACGGUGAACAGGGGCUUGCCCCUGGGAUCAGUGGCGAACGGGUGAGUAACACGUGGGCAACCUGCCCCUCACUCUGGGAUAACUCCGGGAAACCGGGGCUAAUACCGGAUACGACCUGGUGCGACAUCGCACCGGGUGGAAAGAACUUCGGUGAGGGAUGGGCCCGCGGCCUAUCAGCUUGUUGGUGGGGUAACGGCCCACCAAGGCGACGACGGGUAGCCGGCCUGAGAGGGCGACCGGCCACACUGGGACUGAGACACGGCCCAGACUCCUACGGGAGGCAGCAGUGGGGAAUAUUGCGCAAUGGGCGAAAGCCUGACGCAGCGACGCAGCGUGAGGGACGAAGGCCUUCAGGUUGUAAACCUCUUUCAGCGGGGACGAAGCGCAAGUGACGGUACCCGCAGAAGAAGCACCGGCUAACUACGUGCCAGCCGCCGCGGUAA
rnacentral:rRNA from 1 species